rnacentral:tRNA from 1 species
UGGUGGCUAGUUUACACAAAACAAAUGAUUUCGACUCAUUAAACUAUGACUUACUCAUAGCUACCAA